UACGUAGGAUCCAAGCGUUGUCCGGAUUUACUGGGCGUAAAGGGUGCGUAGGCGGACUUAUAAGUCAGGGGUGAAAUCUCGCUGCUCAACAGCGAAACUGCCUUUGAUACUGUAGGUCUUGAAUUAGGGAGAGAUUCGUGGAAUUCCGAGUGUAGCAGUGAAAUGUGUAGAUAUUCGGAAGAACACCAGAGGCGAAGGCAGCGAAUUGGCCCUAUAUUGACGCUCAGGCACGAAAGCAUGGGGAUCAAACAGG
rnacentral:rRNA from 1 species